rnacentral:tRNA from 1 species
UCCUCCGUAGCUCAAUGGUAGAGCAACCGGCUGUUAACCGGUUGGUUAUUGGUUCGAGUCCAGUCGGAGGAGCCA